UACAGAGGGGGCAAGCGUUGUCCGGAAUCAUUGGGCGUAAAGAGCGUGUAGGCGGCCAGAUAAGUCCGCUGUGAAAUCUCGAGGCUCAACUUCGAGCUGUCGGUGGAAACUGUCUGGCUAGAGUCCGGAAGAGGAGAAUGGAAUUCCUGGUGUAGCGGUGAAAUGCGCAGAUAUCAGGAAGAACACCAGUGGCGAAGGCGGCUCACUGGCCCGGUACUGACGCUGAGGUGCGAAAGCGUGGGGAGCAAACAGG
rnacentral:rRNA from 1 species